rnacentral:rRNA from 1 species
AUACGGAGGACGCGAGCGUUAUCCGGAUUCAUUGGGUUUAAAGGGUGCGCAGGCGGCCGUGCAAGUCAGCGGUGAAAGCCCGGGGCUCAACCCCGGAAGUGCCGUUGAUACUGCAUGGCUGGAAUGCGGUCGAGGCGGGCGGGACGGGGCGGGGAGCGGUGGAGUGCGUAGAUAUGCCACAGAACAUCGAUAGCGGAGGCAGCUCGCCAGGCCUGCAUUGACGCUCGGGCACGAAAGCGGGGGGAUCGAACAGGAUUAGAUACCCUGGUAGUCCACGCCGUAAACGAUGGGCGCUCGUCGUCGGCGGCAGACAGUCGGCGGCCAAGCGAAAGCGAUAAGCGCCCCACCUGGGGAGUACGGUCGCAAGGCUGAAACUCAAAUGAAUUGACGGGG